rnacentral:tRNA from 5 species
CGGGAUGUGGCUCAGCUUGGUAGAGCGCUUGGUUCGGGACUAAGAGGUCGUGGGUUCGAAUCCCACCAUCCCGACCA